GACAGAGGAUGCAAGCGUUAUCCGGAAUGAUUGGGCGUAAAGCGUCUGUAGGUGGCUUUUAAGUCCGCCGUCAAAUCCCAGGGCUCAACCCUGGACAGGCGGUGGAAACUACCAAGCUGGAGUACGGUAGGGGCAGAGGGAAUUUCCGGUGGAGCGGUGAAAUGCGUAGAGAUCGGAAAGAACACCAACGGCGAAGGCGACACACUGGCCCGUUACUGACGCUGAGGCGCGAAAGCGUGGGGAGCAAACAGG
rnacentral:rRNA from 1 species